rnacentral:rRNA from 1 species
UUGGAGGGCAAGUCUGGUGCCAGCAGCCGCGGUAAUUCCAGCUCCAAUAGCGUAUAUUAAAGUUGUUGCAGUUAAAAAGCUCGUAGUUGAAUUUCGGGAUUGGCGCAUCGGUCGUGCCUCACGGGGUAUGAACUGGUGCAGUCAAUUUCUCACCUUCUGGAGAACCGCGAUGUCCUUAAUUGGAUGCCGCGGGGAACCAGGACCUUUACUUUGAAAAAAUUAGAGUGUUUAAAGCAGGCAUUUUUGCUCGAAUACAUUAGCAUGGAAUAAUAAAAUAGGACGGCAUGGUUCUAUUUUGUUGGUUUCUAGGACCACCGUAAUGAUUAAUAGGGAUAGUUGGGGGCAUUAGUAUUCAAUUGUCAGAGGUGAAAUUCUUGGAUUUAUUGAAGACUAACUACUGCGAAAGCAUUUGCCAAGGAUGUUUUCAUUAAUCAAGAACGAAAGUUAGGGGAUCGAAGACGAUCAGAUACCGUCGUAGUCUUAACCAUAAACUAUGCCGACUAGGAAUCAGACGAUGUUAAUUUUUUAAUGACUCGUUCGGCGCCUUACGGGAAAC